rnacentral:rRNA from 1 species
GAUGAACGCUAGCGGCAGGCUUAAUACAUGCAAGUCGUGGGGCAGCAUGAGUAGCAAUACUUGAUGGCGACCGGCAAACGGGUGAGGAACACGUACACAACCUUCCUUCAAGCGGGGAAUAGCCCAGAGAAAUUUGGAUUAAUACCCCAUAAUAUAUUUGAUAAGGCAUCUUAUUAAUAAUUUAAAGCUUUCGGCACUUGAUGAUGGGUGUGCGGCUGAUUAGAUAGUUGGCGGGUAACGGCCCACCAAGUCUACGAUCAGUAGCUGAUGUGAGAGCAUGAUCAGCCACACGGGCACUGAGACACGGGCCCGACUCCUACGGGAGGCAGCAGUAA